AGGCAACCAAUCAAGUGGAAAUCACGGCAUUUAGUCGGAACUCUCAGUAGAGGCCACUCCCUUCCCUGUAAAGCGGUCCACAGGGGAAGACAAAUGCCGAUCAGAAGGUAAGUGGGCGAGCAGGAACUGGAACAAGCCAGCUGUGGCCAUUUGAUGUACCAUUCUCCACUAGAGUGUUACUCAUCAGACGGAGAAGCAAUGACAACUCAAUGAUAAUAAACAACUCCAGCACUACAUGUGAUUUAUUACUAAACGAGAUCAAGGCUCCUUGGAGAAACAGCCAAUUCGAGAUCUGGGACAGAAAUUGUUCAAGAAGAGGCUGGAACAUGUUAAGCCUGAAAUUGAAGCCACUAUCAAAGACUCCUGGGCUAAGGGCAAAGGAUACGGAAACUAACUUGAAGGGGCUGUCCCUGGCCAUAGUUGGGUGACUUUGAACACCAGAGAAGAUAAUCAUAGUAGACUGAAAUACAUCAAAUAUCUGAAAAUCCAAUAUCUCACAUAAUGAUAGUUAAAAAACA